rnacentral:tRNA from 1 species
GUCUCGGUGGUCUAAAGGCUUAGGACGCUCGCACGGAAUGCAAGAGAUCCGGGUUCAACUCCCGGCCAAGACA